AUACGUAGGUGGCAAGCGUUGUCCGGAUUUACUGGGUGUAAAGGGCGUGUAGCCGGGUUGGCAAGUCAGAUGUGAAAUCUAUGGGCUUAACUCAUAAACUGCAUUUGAAACUGCUGAUCUUGAGUAUCGGAGAGGCAAUCGGAAUUCCUAGUGUAGCGGUGAAAUGCGUAGAUAUUAGGAGGAACACCAGUGGCGAAGGCGGAUUGCCGGACGACCACUGACGUGGAGUCGCUAAAGCUUGGGGGGCAAACAGUAUUAGAUCCCCUGGUGGCCCACGCUGUAAACGAUGACUACGAGGUGUGCUGGGACUGACCCCCUGCGUGCCGCAGCUAACGCAAUAAGUAUUCCACCUGGGGAGUACGAUCGCAAGGUUGAAACUCAAAGGAAUUGACGGGG
rnacentral:rRNA from 1 species